AGAAUACUCCCUCCGUCCCAUAUUGAGUGCUGAAAUAUUACAUGUAUGAUGUAUCUAGACCUAUUUUAGUAUAUAGAUACGUCCAUUUUUAGACAAAUUUGAGUCACUUAAUAUGGGACAGAGGGAGUACAUU
rfam:Brachypodium distachyon strain Bd21 chromosome 2, whole genome shotgun sequence.